rnacentral:snRNA from 1 species
UACGCUUGUAUUUAAAAAAAAUCAGUUCUUAUCUGUUUAAUAUCUGAUUUAUCAUCAAUGGGAGGACUUUCUAUUGAACAGAUUCUUAGAACUGGGAGAUAGACUUGGAGAUUGCUCCAUCUGCUCCACACAUUGGGCUGGUAUAACAGUGCCUCUAGGAGCAGUUCACCUCCC